CACAUCUCUGAUAAACAGUAGGGGUGGGGGGGAAAAAAUCGAUACAGCAUAGGAUGGCGAUAUUUUCCGUGGCAAUACUGUAUCUAUACACAGAUGCCAAGUAUGGAUCUAUUAUUACGUAUGUGUUGGUCAUAUUGUCUGCUUGACAAUCCCAUUUUGCAGCAAUGUAAUUGAAGUGAGAUGAACAAAGAGAGAAAUAUAUCUUUAUAGAUAAAA